UACGGAGGGUGCAAGCGUUGCUCGGAAUUAUUGGGCGUAAAGGGUAGGUAGGUGGUCUCAUUUGUCUGGGGUGAAAGCCUUGAGCUUAACUCAAGAAGUGCCUCGGAAACGGUGAGACUGGAGUCCUGGAGAGGGUCGUGGAAUUCCCGGUGUAGCGGUGAAAUGCGUAGAGAUCGGGAGGAACACCAGAGGCGAAAGCGGCGACCUGGACAGGUACUGACACUCAACUACGAAAGCGUGGGGAGCAAACAGG
rnacentral:rRNA from 1 species